AUUGAACGCUAGCGGGAUGCCUAACACAUGCAAGUCGAACGGAGUGGCGAACGGGUGAGUAAUGUAUAGGAACGUGCCCAGUAGCGGGGGAUAACUUCCCGAAAGCGUAGCUAAUACCGCAUACUAUUGGAGCGGCCGAGAUCGGAUUAGCUAGUUGGUGGGGUAACGGCCAACCAAGGCGACGAUCCGUAACUGGUCUGAGAGGAUGAUCAGUCACACUGGAACUGAGACACGGCCCAGACUCCUACGGGAGGCAGCAGUGGGGAAUAUUGGACAAUGGGGGAAACCCUGAUCCAGCCAUCCCGCGUGUGCGAUGAAGGUCUUCGGGUUGUAAAGCACUUUUAGCAGGAAGGCGGUACCUGCAGAAUAAGCACCGGCUAACUACGUGCCAGCAGCCGCGGUAAUUC
rnacentral:rRNA from 1 species